GGGUAUGCAGACGAAGUGAUAGGGACAGUUGAAGAAGUGCGUUUAGAUGAAGACACAGUGACUACUGAAGAAGUACGUUCUAAUGAAGGGACAGUGACUGCUGAAGAAGUGCGUUCAUAUGAAGAAACAUUUUUGGGGAACAAAUCAUUUUUAAAAAUUAUAGUUGGAUGUGAUGGUUAAAAUAUUGUUGGACACCCAACCUCCUUAAAGAUAAAAUGUAAAUUCCACCUAAGGACCUCAGUAUUAAGUUUGAAAUUAAGGAAAUACGUGAACAAAAUUCCACUGAUGAUAAUGAAAAACCAUCUAUAGUGUGUUAUAGACCUUUCAUUGUAGUGUUAAUUUUCACUUUCAAAAAAGUAUGUCAAUGACCUAUUUUUUGGUUUAAUGGCCACUGAAUAUUUUUGUUUAAUUAAAGAAAAAUCCCUAAGAAUUUU
rnacentral:sRNA from 1 species